rnacentral:ncRNA from 1 species
AAAGUUGCUGCAGUCAAAAAGCUCGUAGUUGGAUCUCGGGAUCGAGCUGGCGGUCCGCUGAAAGGCGAGCUACCGCCUGUCCCAGCCCCUGCCUCUCGGCGCCCCCUCGAUGCUCUUAGCUGAGUGUCGUGCGGGGUCCGAGGCGAUUAGAAUCGAUCGAAGCAGUUCUGGUCGCCUGAAUACCACAGUUAAGAAUGAUGGAAUAGGACUCCGGUUCUAUUUUGUGGGUCUUCUGAACUGGGGCCUUGAUUAAGAGGGACGGCCGGGGGCAUUCGUAUUGUGAUGCUAGAGGUGAAAUUCUUGGACCGGCGCAAGACGGACGAAAGCGAAAGCAUUUGCCAAGAAUGUUUUCAUUAAUCAAGUACAGAAGUCGGAGGUUUGACGAUUAUUCAGAUGCUGUCGUGGUUCCGACCAUAAACGAUGCCAACUAGCGAUCCGGCCGCAUCAUCCCCAUGACCCGCCGGGCAAACUUUGUUUCGAUGCUACAGUAAUGUUUUCUAGUAAUACUUUG